rnacentral:rRNA from 1 species
UACGUAGGUCCCGAGCGUUGUCCGGAUUUAUUGGGCGUAAAGCGAGCGCAGGUGGUUUAUUAAGUCUGGUGUAAAAGGCAGUGGCUCAACCAUUGUAUGCAUUGGAAACUGGUAGACUUGAGUGUAGGAGAGGAGAGUGGAAUUCUAUGUGUAGCGGUGAAAUGCGUAGAUAUAUGGAGGAACACCGGUGGCGAAAGCGGCUCUCUGGCCUGUAACUGACACUGAGGCUCGAAAGCGUGGGGAGCAAACAGG